UUACGCCCAUAUCAUGUUGUAACACCGGUUCUCGAACGAUCACCGAAGUUAAGCAAACUCAUGCCUCGUCAGUAUGUAGAUGGGUGACCGCUUGAGAAUCCAAGGUGC